rnacentral:rRNA from 1 species
GAUGAACGCUGGCGGCGUGCUUAACACAUGCAAGUCGAGCGAGUGAGUUCUUCGGAACGAUCUAGUGGCGGACGGGUGAGUAACACGUGGGCAACCUGCCUCAUAGAGGGGAAUAGCCUUCCGAAAGGAAGAUUAAUACCGCAUAACAUCGUUGAAGGGCAUCCUUCGAUGAUCAAAGGAGCAAUCCGCUAUGAGAUGGGCGCGCGGCGCAUUAGCUAGUUGGUGAGGUAACGGCUCACCAAGGCGACGAUGCGUAGCCGACCUGAGAGGGUGAUCGGCCACAUUGGGACUGAGACACGGCCCAGACUCCUACGGGAGGCAGCAGUGGGGAAUGUUGCACAAUGGGGGAAACCCUGAUGCAGCAACGCCGCGUGAGUGAUGACGGCCUUCGGGUUGUAAAGCUCUGUCUUUGGGGACGAUAAUGACGGUACCCAAGGAGGAAGUCACGGCUAACUACGUGCCAGCAGCCGCAGUAACAC